rnacentral:misc_RNA from 1 species
UGGAAUGAUUUUGAUGUAUACG